CAAACCAAAGCUGGCGACCGGCGCACGGGUGAGUAACACGUAUCCGACCUGCCUCAUACUCGGGGAUAGCCUUUCGAAAGAAAGAUUAAUAUCCGAUAGCAUAUAUUUCCCGCAUGGGUUUUAUAUUAAAGAAAUUCGGUAUGAGAUGGGGAUGCGUUCCAUUAGUUUGUUGGGGGGUAACGGCCCACCAAGACUACGAUGGAUAGGGGUUCUGAGAGGAAGGUCCCCCACAUUGGAACUGAGGCACGGUCCAA
rnacentral:rRNA from 1 species